AUUUUCAAUAAAUUUUUCCAGGCC
rnacentral:sRNA from 1 species